rnacentral:rRNA from 1 species
CAUGCAGUCGAGCGGUAAGGNCCCUUUUGGGGGGUACACGAGCGGCGAACGGGUGAGUAACACGUGGGUGACCUGCCUUCAGCUCUGGGAUAAGCCUGGGAAACUGGGUCUAAUACCGGAUAUGACCUUGGGACGCAUGUUUUGGGGUGGAAAGUUUUUUCGGCUGGAGAUGGGCCCGCGGCCUAUCAGCUUGUUGGUGGGGUGAUGGCCUACCAAGGCGACGACGGGUAGCCGGCCUGAGAGGGCGACCGGCCACACUGGGACUGAGACACGGCCCAGACUCCUACGGGAGGCAGCAGUGGGGAAUAUUGCGCAAUGGGCGGAAGCCUGACGCAGCGACGCCGCGUGGGGGAUGACGGCCUUCGGGUUGUAAACCUCUUUCGCCAUCGACGAAGCUUCUGGUUUUUGCUGGGGGUGACGGUAGGUGGAGAAGAAGCACCGGCCAACUACGUGCCAGCAGCCGCGGUAACACGUAGGGUGCGAGCGUUGUCCGGAAUUAUUGGGCGUAAAGAGCUCGUAGGCGGUGUGUCGCGUCGGCCGUGAAAACUUUCAGCUUAACUGGGAGCGUGCGGUCGAUACGGGCAUCACUUGAGUUCGGCAGGGGAGACUGGAAUUCCUGGUGUAGCGGUGAAAUGCGCAGAUAUCAGGAGGAACACCGGUGGCGAAGGCGGGUCUCUGGGCCGAUACUGACGCUGAGGAGCGAAAGCGUGGGGAGCGAACAGGAUUAGAUACCCUGGUAGUCCACGCUGUAAACGUUGGGCGCUAGGUGUGGGGGCCAUUCCACGGUCUCUGUGCCGCAGCUAACGCAUUAAGCGCCCCGCCUGGGGAGUACGGGCCGCAAGGCUAAAACUCAAAGGAAUU